GCCGAGGUAGCUCAUUGGUAGAGCGCGGCCCUGAAAAGGCCGGCGUGGGGGGUUCGAUUCCCUCCCUCGGCA
rnacentral:tRNA from 1 species